rnacentral:rRNA from 1 species
CAGUCGCCACGGGAAUACGUAGGGCGCAAGCGUUAUCCGGAAUUAUUGGGCGUAAAGAGCUCGUAGGCGGUUUGUCGCGUCUGCCGUGAAAGUCCGGGGCUCAACCCCGGAUCUGCGGUGGGUACGGGCAGACUAGAGUGAUGUAGGGGAGACUGGAAUUCCUGGUGUAGCGGUGAAAUGCGCAGAUAUCAGGAGGAACACCGAUGGCGAAGGCAGGUCUCUGGGCAUUAACUGACGCUGAGGAGCGAAAGCAUGGGGAGCGAACAGGAUUAGAUACCCCCGGUAGUCCCUGUCUCUUAUU